rnacentral:rRNA from 1 species
AUACGGAGGGUGCAAGCGUUAAUCGGAAUUACUGGGCGUAAAGCGUACGUAGGCGGUUUAUUAAGUCAGAUGUGAAAGCCCCGGGCUUAACCUGGGAACUGCAUUUGAAACUAGUAGACUAGAGUAUGGUAGAGGGGGGUAGAAUUCCUAGUGUAGCGGUGAAAUGCGUAGAUAUUAGGAGGAAUACCAGUGGCGAAGGCGGCCCCCUGGACCAAUACUGACGCUGAGGUACGAAAGCGUGGGGAGCGAACAGGAUUAGAAACCCUAGUAGUCC